UUACCAUCAUUCAGUUGGGGACGUCUAGCGAGACUGCCAGUGAUAAACUGGAGGAAGGUGGGGAUGACGUCAAAUCAUCAUGCCCCUUAUGACCUGGGCUACAAACGUCAUACAAUGGCUGAACAAAGAGAAGCGAAGCAGUGAUGUGGAGCAAAACUCAUAAAAGCAGUCUCAGUUCAGAUUGUAGUCUGCAACUCGACUACAUGAAGUCGGAAUCGCUAGUAAUCGCAGAUCAGCAUGCUGCGGUGAAUACGUUCUCGGGGGUUU
rnacentral:rRNA from 1 species